AUUGAACGCUGGCGGCAGGCUUAACACAUGCAAGUCGAGCGGGGGAAGGUAGCUUGCUACUGGACCUAGCGGCGGACGGGUGAGUAAUGCUUAGGAAUCUGCCUAUUAGUGGGGGACAACAUCUCGAAAGGGAUGCUAAUACCGCAUACGUCCUACGGGAGAAAGCAGGGGAUCUUCGGACCUUGCGCUAAUAGAUGAGCCUAAGUCGGAUUAGCUAGUGGGUGGGGUAAAGGCCUACCAAGGCGACGAUCUGUAGCGGGUCUGAGAGGAUGAUCCGCCACACUGGGGCUGAGACACGGCCCAGACUCCUACGGGAGGCAGCAGUGGGGAAUAUUGGACAAUGGGGGGAACCCUGAUCCAGCCAUGCCGCGUGUGUGAAGAAGGCCUUAUGGUUGUAAAGCACUUUAAGCGAGGAGGAGGCUACUCUAGUUAAUACCUAGGGAUAGUGGACGUUACUCGCAGAAUAAGCACCGGCUAACUCUGUGCCAGCCGCCGCCGUAA
rnacentral:rRNA from 1 species